CUGAGGUGAGCGUUCUCCUGGGUGAGGCGGGCGCAGCACCACACAGCUACUUGGGGUGGCGCCAGUGUCCCAGCUGUUGGAUUUAAAGUGAGGAGGGCCUGUACUUGACCCUGUCAAGCUCUAGUCACCAAUGGGAAACAGCACAGCAUCCACACAGAAGAUGGCCAGGGACACAGGGAAAGAAGUAUCAAGAGUGAUCCGAAGAGAGAGAGGAUUUUAGGCUUCUAUGGCAUGGACUACAUGAGCAACAAGUAACCUGGCUUAGAGGUUCCGGCUAGGAGGAACUGGCGGGACGGACCGCGCAACGCAGAAAAGGCACGAACAGCGCAAGAUGGCUUCUGCAUAUGUGCGGUCCACCAGGGGCUACUGCUAAAGAAAACUCUCCGAGCUGCGGCGCCGGGACAAGCCCGACACCUUUGGUGGAGCACCCAUGCGGACACACAUCUCGAAGAAUAGCUGUUACUGCACAGAAAAAGCAAUGGAGGGAACAAAGAAGGGCAGGUGACUGGCUGGCUGGAAAUAGAGACUAGCAGCUUCCAAAACUUUCUAUUCAGCAGCAUCACUGCAUGCAAUCAGGAAAGGGAGAGUUGAUUUUCACAAAGGAUCUUGUUGUACUUACUGUAGAAGGCUAGCUACAACGCUGAAAUCCAUGUUAUCUAUGACUGUGAUGCUGUGACCAUCAGAGCAAAAUAAUCUAGGGGAAGGGGCACAGUCUGAAACAUGUGAGUAUGGAAACUAA